rfam:Triticum aestivum genome assembly, contig: Triticum_aestivum_CS42_TGACv1_scaffold_035155_1BL
CCUAUCCAGGACGACGAACUGAUCUCGUACAUUCUCCAUGGCCUCGACAUCGACUACCAGCCGCUCGUCUCCGCCCUCGACGCCCGCGUCACGCCCGUCACCAUCGACGAGCUCUACGCCAUGCUGAGUAAUUUUGAUC